UACGUAGGGUGCGAGCGUUGUCCGGAAUUAUUGGGCGUAAAGAGCUCGUAGGCGGCUUGUCGCGUCGGAUGUGAAAGCCCGGGGCUUAACUCCGGGUCUGCAUUCGAUACGGGCAGGCUAGAGUUCGGUAGGGGAGAUCGGAAUUCCUGGUGUAGCGGUGAAAUGCGCAGAUAUCAGGAGGAACACCGGUGGCGAAGGCAGCUCGCUGGGACGGUACUGACGCUGAGACGCGAAAGCGUGGGGAGCGAACAGG
rnacentral:rRNA from 1 species